ACAGAGCCCUGGCCUGGGGCUUAAACCGGAUUCUGUCUGCAGUUCUGAAGUUGUGCAAAUUAGAGCCCGUUCUCAGUGUCCGCCAGGGCUUUUGGGAGCGCGCAACCUACAGCCUAACGCCGCUAAGACAAGCUUUCCCGGAGUCUCCUUCUCUUGUCGUCGUUGACUUUGCCUAGCAGGGUGUUUGUGGUACGUCCACACACGAGCGUUGAUUAAAGUUCCCACCCAUUCCAACGAC